rnacentral:lncRNA from 1 species
CCUCUUCUUCCCGGGCCCUUAAAAAUUAUAAGAAGCUUAUACAGCCCUCGCCCCCCUGCACAAUGUCGACCGCCGCAGCUCAAGGCUGGUGCCUCACCUCUCUCGCCCGCGCCAACUCCCGGAGACCGACCACCGUCCGACCCGCCGCCGUCUCCGGCCUCACCCCCUCCUCCCCAUCUCCCUCACCUUCGACUCCGCGCCUCAUCAGGAACUCUCCUGUCUUUGCCGCUCCGUCCACAAUCGCCACUGCCGUGGUAACGCCGCCGCUCUCUCUCUCUCUCUCUCUCUCUCUCUAGCGGGUGUGACAUUUGUUUGCAAUAUAUUGCUAUCACCCAUCGAGUCAAAACCUGGCAGUAUACAUAUUUAACCAUUUUGGUGGGCCGGGUUAUGUUAUAAUUCGCUGCAACGAUCUGCUGCAGACUAAAUUCUUUACGAGAGCCAUUAAUUGAGCAGAACAUUACUCGAUAAUGUUGUUAUGUUGCUUAUUAUAAUAAC